rnacentral:tRNA from 1 species
GGCUGUGGCUCAGUGGUAGCGCGCUCGCCUAACAUGCAUGAGGCACUGGGUUCGAUCCUCAGCACCA